rnacentral:rRNA from 1 species
ACGCUCGACACCUACGGGAGCAGCAGUGGGGAAUAUUGCACAAUGGAGGAAACUCUGAUGCAGCGAUGCCGCGUGAGGGAAGAAGGUUUUCGGAUUGUAAACCUCUGUCUUUGGGGACGAUAAUGACGGUACCCAAGGAGGAAGCUCCGGCUAACUACGUGCCANNGCGAGUAUNGNGCGGNNGANAGC